CACAAUAUGCACAUAACACAUAUACUCGACACCUUCAUUAUGAUUAAACAUGGAAGGAAACCCAAUAGAAAAUUACUAAUAUGUCUUUAAGCAAAAAUCUUAGUCUUCUCCUAUUAACCGUUGGAACAACUUAAUACUACCCAUUAUAUUGGGUUGUACGAUGUACGGUAAAAAAUUCAUCCGAUGUGUAUUUCCAUCAUCUAUUUCCCCAAAUUUGCUUUAAAAAUAUCUAUUUUCCCAAAUCGAUGGGUCCAAGCCUUGGAGCUCAAGGCUGAAGCCUCAGACCCACCGUAUCCGUACAUAAGCUCCCGCCUAUAAAGCUGUACGCUCGAGCUGAAUCUAUGCAUCAAACAUUGCAUCAUCCCCUCCUCCCGGAAAAAAGAAAAGGCUCCUCCUAGCAAAAGUAGCCUGUGAAGCGAUGGGUUCCAAGUACUUGUUGUUCGGCCUCUGCUCCCUGCUUGUACUUUCCGGCCAGCGGACUCUCUUCACUCCAGCGUUAGCUCGGGGCAUCCCAGGAUCAUCGGCAGCAACCUUCGCUUCCUUUGUUCAUGCGCCUACCAAGAACAAUGACCCCGGCAGCGGUGUGCAUGCGCGCCAGCCAGCAGGUGUGGAAGAGCAGAAGGGUGAAACUGGUUUGCUCAAUCCUCGUAUCUGGCCACGUUGCCCGCCGUCCGUUUGCCACUGGCACGGCACUUCAGUUCCAGCUUCAACUCGCGCAGCAGCAAAUCCCUGAGAAGGACGAUCAUUCGGUUGCGUUGGAUCGGCGUCAAACCAUGCAUGGCGGGGGAUUAAAUUAAAAACCGUGCCUGUGCUGUGAUGUUGCCUACUAUAUAAUGUGUGUGUGUGUGUGUGAAUUAAUGUCUGGCGACGGCGCCUUAGGAGUACAACAUACGUGAUGAAAUAAAUAAAUCGUUGGUAUUCUCUGCAACAAUGCCAGUGAUUCUGCUUAAUUGAUCAA